UUUUUAUCAAUACGUGGUAUUUUAUAAAUAAAAUUCUUAAAAAUCUAUUUUAGGAAAGUUUUUUCCAUUUUUAUAGAGAAAUAUUUUAGAUUUGGGAUUGUGAAUUAGAAAAUAGGAUAACAAGAAUUUUGUUGAUUGAUGAGUAUUGUUUUAUUUUUUUAUCAAUACGUGGUAUUUAAUAAAUAAAAUUUUAAAAAUUUCUUUUUAGGAAGUUGUCAAUUUUAUAGAGAAACAUUAUACUUUUGGGAUUGUGAUUCAGAAAUUAGGAU